rnacentral:rRNA from 1 species
GAUGAACGCUAGCGGCAGGCUUAACACAUGCAAGUCGAGGGGUAUAGGUUUUCGGACCUAGAGACCGGCGCACGGGUGCGUAACGCGUAUGCAAUCUGCCUUUCACAGAGGGAUAGCCCAGAGAAAUUUGGAUUAAUACCUCAUAGUAUUAUGUUGUGGCAUCACAAUAUAAUUAAAGUUCCAACGGUGAAAGAUGAGCAUGCGUCCCAUUAGCUAGAUGGUAAGGUAACGGCUUACCAUGGCGACGAUGGGUAGGGGUCCUGAGAGGGAGAUCCACCACACUGGUACUGAGACACGGACCAGACUCCUACGGGAGGCAGCAGUGAGGAAUAUUGGUCAAUGGACGCAAGUCUGAACCAGCCAUGCCGCGUGCAGGAUGACGGUCCUAUGGAUUGUAAACUGCUUUUGUACGAGAAGAAACACUCCUUCGUGAAGGAGCUUGACGGUAUCGUAAGAAUAAGGAUCGGCUAACUCCGUGCCAGCCGCCGCUGUAAAAC